rnacentral:rRNA from 1 species
GUCGGGGGGGGUAGACGCGAAACCGAGUGAUCUACCCUUGGCCAGGUUGAAGGUUGGGUAACACCAACUGGAGGACCGGAUGGGUAAGCGUUGAAAAGCUUUCCAAUGAGCUGAGGGUAGGGGUGAAAGGCUAAUCAAACUCGGAGAUAGCUCGUACUCCCCGAAAUGCAUUUAGGUGCAGCCUCUUUAUAGUAUAUCGUGAGGUAGAGCGACUGAUUGGAUGCGAGGGCUUCACCGCCUAUCAAGUCCAGAUAAACUCCGAAUGCGCGAUAUAUAUUUACAGGGAGUGAGGGCGCGGGUGCUAAGGUCCGUGUCCGAGAGGAGAAGAAUCCAGACCACCGGCUAAGGCCCCCAAAUGAUCGUUAAGUUGAACUAACGAGGUCGGAUCGCAGAGACAGCUAGGAUGUUGGCUUGGAAGCAGCCAUUCAUUUAAAGAGUGCGUAACAGCUCACUAGUCGAGCGAUCUGGCGUGGAUAAUAAUCGGGCAUAAACGAUCUGCCGAAGCCGUGGAUGUCGCAAGACAUGGUAGGGGAGCAUUCCAUGCGGCGUCGAAGAUGAGGGAUGACCCUUGUUGGAGCGCAUGGAAAAGCAAAUGUAGGUAUGAGUAACGAUAAGGGGGGCGAGAAACCCCCCCGCCGAAAGACCAAGGUUUCCUGAUCAACGCUAAUCGGAUCAGGGUGAGUCGGGACCUAAGGCAAAGCCGAACGGCGCCGCCGAUGGAAGAAUGGGUUAAUAUUCCCAUACUGCCUCAUGGAGUGACGUGGAGACGGAGAAGUGACAGUCCUGCCGGCUGACGGAAUAGCCGGUUGAAGGGUGUAGAUAUUGAUUCCCGUAGGCAAAUCCGCGGGGAGAGUCGAACCUGAGAGUAUACGGAGCGCUUGCGCAACGUAAUAUGGACGUAACCAUGCUCCCGAGAAAAUCCGCUAAACUUAUCCAUGCGGCACCCGUACCGUAAACGGACACACGUGGUCGGGUUGAGAAUACUGAGGCGCUCGAGUGAUUCACGGUUAAGGAACUAGGCAAAUUGACCCUGUAACUUCGGGAUAAAGGGUCCUCGUCGUAAGGCGAGGCGCAGAGAAUAGGUCCAGGCAACUGUUUAACAAAAACACAUGGCUGUGCUAAAUGGAAACAUGACGUAUACAGCCUGACACCUGCCCGGUGCCGGAAGGUUAAGAGGAGAUGUCAUCCGCGAGGAGA